rnacentral:rRNA from 1 species
AUGAUCAGCAGGAUCCUGAAGAGGGUCUGUGGCUUGUACCCUCAGUACAUCGGCGUUGAUGUCGAGUAUACCAGGGAGGACGAACCUCCGCAGAGGGCUGCGGUUCUACAGUUAUGUGUGGAGGAACUCUGUUUGGUAUAUCACAUCACCGCGGCAACAAAAUGGCCCAAGAGCAUGCGCCCAUUCCUAAAGGAGGACAGGUUCUAUACCUUUGCCAGCUUCAGUAUUGAAGGUGACAAAGAGAUGCUGCGAAGUUCUGGUUUGGAGAUCAACCCCGACAAGUACAUCGACAUCCAGCGCAAAUGGAGAGUUACUUUCAAGGGAAGAAAGAGGGUUGAAGACCAUAAACUGUGGGGGAUCAGCCCACUGCCAAAUUACCUCACUGAGUAUGCAGCGAUAGAUGCGUACGCCACCUAUGAGUCGUGGAAGAGAAUU